UACGGGGGGGGCAAGCGUUGUUCGGAAUUACUGGGCGUAAAGGGCUCGUAGGCGGCCAACUAAGUCGGACGUGAAAUCCCUCAGCUUAACUGGGGAACUGCGUCCGAUACUGGAUGGCUUGAGUUCGGGAGAGGGAUGCGGAAUUCCGCGUGUAGCAGUGAAAUGCGUAGAUAUGCGGAGGAACACCGAUGGCGAAGGCAAUCCCCUGGGCCUGCACUGACGCUCAUGCACGAAAGCGUGGGGAGCAAACAGG
rnacentral:rRNA from 1 species